UCAAACAAGCUGGGGCGCUCCAUUUGAGCUGAGAAGUAACCCAUUGAACCUGCUACGGUUAGCACCGACGAAGGAAGCUUGGUUAUUUACCCG
rnacentral:ncRNA from 2 species